GCUGAGGCGAGAGAGAUUGGCAGACUCUUACUGUCUAAAAAUCACCCCGUUCCUACUCCUGCUUCGAGCCGGAUCCUCGGUAACCUGUAAUCCGGUGGUGGCUUGGAAUAGUUUUGUUUGUUUUUUAAAAAACGUGUCGUGGGUGCAUUAACAAACAUACAAGUUCACAUACACAUGUCACCCAGACCCGAAACAACAAUUUGUGGAUCACACAAAGAAUUGCUCCGUGCGGAAAUCGAACCCGCUACACUUUGCACGGCAGCCGGUCGCCCAGCCACCGCACCAACCGUGCAGUCGAAUAGUAGUUAGGUCACUAGACAUUUUAAGCAUGCUUUCAAUAACUGAUUGCAAUUUUAGUAAAAAAAUACUUUUAUUAUUACUGUAAUGACAAUAUUAGAACCUAUGUAGUAUUUAUUGAUUUGCCUAGUUUUAAUAGUAAGGUGUAAUAGGUACAUAUAAUAUGGAAUACUUAGUAACAGUAUUGCAAGGCGAAUACGUAAAAUUUUUCACCCUUAUUACAAUGAGAAUAAAAGGCAGUUAGAGGUAAAAAUACGACUGAAAUGACCAUUAUUAAGUGAGAAAUCGAUUGAAUAAUGUUCAUUUACAAGGUAUAUGAUAUUAUUAUUAUAAUAAUAUUGUCACGAUGCUUAACUAUAAAUCAAUUUACAGUAACUAGUUCUGCUGUGUCCCUGUAUAAAUAGUUGUAAAAUUUUACAAAUUCGUAUAACAUUUCAAUAAGUCUUGAAGCCAUCAUGAAGUUCCUAUACGUCGCUCUGCUGUUCGCUCUCGCCAUGUUUGUGACUGACGUCGCUGCCGAUGGAGUCCAAAUUUUGGUCGAUGGCCGCCGCGCGGGCCAGAUCUGUCGCCGAGACUCCGAUUGCGGAGACAUGUGCAAUUGUGUUGAAAGCAUCUGUAGAUGUUUCAGAAGAAGCCUCGGUUUAAGCGAUUUAUAUUAUUAAUAAAUAAUGAAGAUAAAUAACACAUGUGUUAUAAACUUAUAACAAUUGUUAUAUUUAAAUAAUUAAAUGUUUUCGUUUGGC